rnacentral:misc_RNA from 1 species
GCAAAUUCCAUUUCCGGCAUUCGUCUAGAACAUACUUUUGCACCAUCAACGGUGGCUCACUAUCGAAGUUCUCCAUCGCUUUCAUAGCUUUCCUAAUUCUAUCAGCUAACCUUGCACUCCCAAUAGAUGUUUGUAAGCAAUUUAACUUUGUUCGUGUAUCCCAAGAUGGCCACCAUUUCUUCGUUAGAGGAAACGCCUCGUGAAUGGUACGUGGAGGAAGUGGAAGUAAAGGAAAUCUAUCUUCAAUUGGUAGAUUAUGAAUAUAUCCUCUUUUCCUUGCGGUAGCGCAAAAAUAUUUCGAGUCAACAAACUCGGGCUCA